UACGUAGGUGGCAAGCGUUAUCCGGAAUUAUUGGGCGUAAAGCGCGCGCAGGCGGCGGUGCUGGCCCGGCGUGAAAGCCCCCGGCUCAACCGGGGAGAGUCGUCGGGGACCGCACCGCUUGAGGGCGGUAGGGGCUGGUGGAAUGCCUGGUGUAGUGGUGAAAUGCGUAGAGAUCAGGCAGAACACCUGGGGCGAAGGCGGCCAGCUGGGCCGUCCCUGACGCUGAGGCGCGAAGGCGUGGGGAGCGAACGGG
rnacentral:rRNA from 1 species